GUUCGGAUUGCAGGCUGCAACUCGCCUGUAUGAAGUCGGAAUUGCUAGUAAUCGCGGAUCAGCAUGCCGCGGUGAAUACGUUCCCGGGCCUUGUACACACCGCCCGUCACACCAUGAGAGCCGGGAACACCCGAAGUCCGUAGUCUAACCGUAAGGAGGACGCGGCCGAAGGUAGGUUUGGUAAUUGGGGUGAAGUCGUAACAAGGUAAC
rnacentral:rRNA from 1 species